UAGGGAAUCUUCGGCAAUGGGGGGAACCCUGACCGAGCAACGCCGCGUGAGUGAAGAAGGUUUUCGGAUCGUAAAGCUCUGUUGUUAAGGAAGAACGAGUGUGAGAAUGGAAAGUUCAUACUGUGACGGUACUUAACCAGAAAGGGACGGCUAACUACGUGCCAGCAGCCGCGGUAAUACGUAGGUCCCGAGCGUUGUCCGGAUUUAUUGGGCGUAAAGCGAGCGCAGGCGGUUAGAUAAGUCUGAAGUUAAAGGCAGUGGCUCAACCAUUGUAGGCUUUGGAAACUGUUUAACUUGAGUGCAGAAGGGGAGAGUGGAAUUCCAUGUGUAGCGGUGAAAUGCGUAGAUAUAUGGAGGAACACCGGUGGCGAAAGCGGCUCUCUGGUCUGUAACUGACGCUGAGGCUCGAAAGCGUGGGGAGCGAACAGGAUUAGAUACCCUGGUAUCCCCGCCGUAAACCAUGAGUGCUAGGUGUUAGGUCCUUUCCGGGACUUAGUGCCGCAGCUAACGCAUUAAGCACUCCGCCUGGGGAGUACGACCGCAAGGUU
rnacentral:rRNA from 1 species